UACGUAGGGUGCGAGCGUUGUCCGGAAUUAUUGGGCGUAAAGAGCUCGUAGGCGGUUUGUCGCGUCUGCCGUGAAAGUCCGGGGCUCAACUCCGGAUCUGCGGUGGGUACGGGCAGACUAGAGUGAUGUAGGGGAGACUGGAAUUCCUGGUGUAGCGGUGAAAUGCGCAGAUAUCAGGAGGAACACCGGUGGCGAAGGCGGUUCUCUGGGACGGUACUGACGCUGAGACGCGAAAGCGUGGGGAG
rnacentral:rRNA from 1 species